rnacentral:rRNA from 1 species
CAGCCGCCACGGUAAUACGAAGGGGGCUAGCGUUGUUCGGAUUUACUGGGCGUAAAGCGUGCGCAGGCGGUUUGUUAAGACAGAUGUGAAAUCCCUGGGCUCAACCUGGGAACUGCAUUUGUGACUGGCAAGCUAGAGUAUGGCAGAGGGGGGUGGAAUUCCGCGUGUAGCAGUGAAAUGCGUAGAUAUGCGGAGGAACACCGAUGGCGAAGGCAGCCCCCUGGGCCAACACUGACGCUCAUGCACGAAAGCGUGGGGAGCAAACAGGAUUAGAUACCCCAGUAGUCCCUGUCUCUUAUAU